rnacentral:rRNA from 1 species
AUACGUAGGUGGCAAGCGUUGUCCGGAAUUAUUGGGCGUAAAGCGCAUGUAGGCGGUUUGGUAAGUCGGUCGUGAAAAUGCGGUGCUUAACGCCGUAUGGCGAUUGAAACUGCUGAACUUGAGUGCAGGAGAGGAAAGGGGAACUCCCAGUGUAGCGGGGAAAUGCGUAGAUAUUGGGAAGAACACCGGUGGCGAAGGCGCCUUUCUGGACUGUGUCUGACGCUCAGAUGCGAAAGCCAGGGUAGCGAACGGGAUUAGAUACCCCGGUAGUCCUGGCCGUAAGCGAUGGGUACUAGGUGUGGGAGGUAUCGACUCCUUCCGUGCCGGAGUUAACGCAAUAAGUACCCCGCCUGGGGAGUACGGCCGCAAGGCUUAAACUCAAAUGAAUUGACGGGG